rnacentral:lncRNA from 1 species
GUUGGCUUUACGGAGACGCGCGGAGCACCCUCAAGGUGCCACACGCUCGCUUGCUCCCUGUUCCUACAUCCUGGGCGUCUUCCCAGGCUGUCAUAUAACUCCUGAGAAUAGUGGUUCUUAACUCUGUAAGUAUACAUACCCUCGUACGCCUUAUGGCUGGAUGCGUUACAGCCAUUUCCAUGUAGAUGUCUGUGCAUACGUGCACACGCAAAACUCUCCGCAGUUUUGGAGAUCUCCGUGUUCAGUCGUACCUCACGUGAUCUUGCACUGCCAACGUUGAGAACCCUGGCCUUAGACUAUGCAUCUCCCAAACUUAAUUAUCUGUCUCCUUCCUAUUUUCCCAAGACUUGGCAGGCGUCUAGGUCAGAGUUGUUCAAACUGAGGGUUAUGAACUAGUAUGUCACGAAAUCAAUUUAAUAGGUUGCAACCAACAUUUUUUUGAAAAAAAAAAAGCCAGACGAGGUGGCUCACGCCUAUAAUCCCAGCACUUUGGGAGGCCGAGGCAGGCGGAUCACUUGAGGUCAGGAGUUCGAGACCAGCCUGGCCAACAUGCUGAAACCCCGUCUCUACUAAAAAUACAGAAAUUAGCUGGGCAUAGUGACGUAUGCCUGUAAUCCCAGCUACUUGAGAGAAAAUAAAAAUAAAAAAACAAAUAUCAGUGCAUUUCACAUAGUAAAGGUAAGAAUUGUGGAAGUUUUGUUGGUGUGUGUAUGUAGAUGAUAUUUAAUCUUCAGACUGAGACAUGUUUGAGCAUGAAAGUGGCUGUUAAUAUAAUUACUCUGGGACCAACGCUGUAAUCUAGAAUUGUCUCCAGCCAGCCAAGACACAUGGUCACCUCUAUGUUUGUACUCAGUCAGCAUAUAAAAUGUAUUAUAGACAUUUCAAUGGUUGCCCAGCUUUGUCCCUGGCUUUCAUGCUCCCAUUCCCCCAAUC